rnacentral:lncRNA from 1 species
GGAGUAGCUAUCUCUGAGACUUAUUUACCAGUAUUUAGCGGUAGAAAGGAGUAGCUAUCUCUGAGGCUUAUUUACAAUUGUUAGUUAUUGGACUGACUAAAGAUGAGCACCAUGUAUUUGUAACAGACUUUAAGAUCCAAACACGGUGUAUGGAGUAUUGUUUUAGGAUUCUCAUAAAGACAAUAGAAACCAAACUGAUCAUACUGGACAUCAUCAUGAAUCAAUGUCUAUAUGUUAUGAACCUAUCUAUUCUGUGUAGAUACAGUCCCACCCUCUCCUUCACUGGCCAAUCCUGCAGCUUGCUGUCCACCUACAACUGCCACAAACAACCAAUCAGCAACUACUCUGUCGCCAAGCAACAACCAGUCUACAUUGGUGGUACCUGUCUCCACCUGUCUCCAUUAGUGGUACCUGUCUCCACCUGUCUCCAUUAG